rnacentral:sRNA from 11 species
CGGCUAAAUGCAGGAACGAUAACUAAAAUCAUAAUGAUGUCCUUAUUUGACGGGUCGAUAGCAAUAUCGGCCCUUUUUUU